UGAUGGUGCCGUCCCCUCUGCACCCGUGCAAGGAGGCUGUGUGAAACUGAGGAUCCCAAGAUGUAGGGAGCCCGUGGGACCAGCCAGAGAUGGCAUCCUGGCGAGAGCUCCGUGUGCACACAUGUAGUGAAUGUGCUUUGACCAUAGAAAGGACUAUACUCAGAAGUAGUGCUAAGUUGCCAGUGGAAACUGCCCAUGGGCCACAUGAGAGACCACGGAUCCUGCAAUGCUCGGGAUGCAUAAAGCUGGCACAGAAGUGCUGCAGAGAGGCUGUCACCAGUUAG
rnacentral:lncRNA from 1 species